AUUACCAAAAUCUGGUUGGUUUUGGUUUUAAGAAUUACUUUUCCAGCAAUAAUAAAAAAAUCCCUACUUCAAUCGACACUCCAUUCCCAAACCGCUCUUUUUGUCGCUGGAAAAAAGGAAGUCCGAUUAAUCCAUCUCGAUGGGAAGUAGCAGUGGUAGCGAUGUAGAAGCAGGAUUUGCAAAACUACAAGGUGAAGAUUUCGAGUAUUACAUGCAAACUUACUCCAUUAUCCUUGGCCGUAACUCCAAAAAAUCAACGGUGGAUGUCGACUUAUCAUCACUCGGUGGUGGAAUGAAUAUCUCACGUCACCACGCACGUAUUUAUUACGACUUCCAACGGCGCCGUUUUGCUUUAGAAGUAUUAGGGAAAAACGGGUGUUUAGUUGAAGGUGUUCUUCACUUACCUGGUAAUCCACCAAUUAAAUUAGAUUCACAAGACCUUUUACAGAUUGGAGAUAAAGAGUUUUAUUUCCUUCUUCCUGUUAGGAGUAUUCUUGGUGGGCCUAGACAACAACAACAUGUUAAAAAUGUGAAUUUGAAUUAUGCCGGGUCGGGUCAAGCGGGUGUGGCGACCCAUUUGUUGGAGACGACGGCGGUGGGGAAUGUGGGUCCCACGGGGUAUGGUGGUGGGGCCCACAUUCGCGAACGGAGAGAGUAUUAUGAGGAGGAAUAUGAUGAUGAUGAUGAUGAUGAUGAUGACAAUGGUGCUUCUGUUGGUAAGAAAAUGAGGAAAGGUGAAGGUUAUGGGUAUGGUUCUUGUGGUUCUAGUGGGAAAGCUUCGAUUUCGGGGCAAUUAGAUAAGAAGAUGGAUGGAAGAUUACGUGCUGACAGAGAUGCUGACAAUCAGCAGCUCCUGCUGUUAGAAGAAAAGGAUGUUGUAUCAUCUGUAGCUAAUGUGCUUUCUGAUCUCUGUGGUCCAGGAGAAUGGAUGCCAAUGGAGAAGCUUCAUGCGGAGUUGGUCGAACACUAUGGCGAUACUUGGCACCAUAGUCGUGUGAGGAGGUACCUAACAUCGGAAGACUAUCCCAGCCCGGAAGCCAAAACGAAGCCAUGGUAUGGAUUGCUGAUGCUGUUGAGGAAAUAUCCGGAGCAUUUCGUUAUCAACACACGAUCUAAGGGACGAUUGACUUUGGAGUUUGUUUGUCUUGUCUCACUACUUUCAUGAGAGCUUGCCAUAUUUAAGACGUUUAGCUAGCUUAAGUUGAGUUUCAAGUCAGUUGUAUCUAACAUGGGGCCUGAACUUGGUGUGCAGAAAUACUUGGUACUUUUGCUGGUGUGAACACGAUAAAAUAUUCGAGGUGCGCGCAAGCUGUGCGACCACUACCGUUUUAAAGAUAGAUAUUAUCUCCGAGCCAAAAUUGCUCAGUGUUUUUUUACCCCUCUAAACCAUUUUUCAAACUCUAGGAGCAUUAACGAGCAAAACAAAUUGAAGGAUUCAUCUGUUACUAACAAGGAGAUUCACAAAUGUUGUGAGUUAAUUUUUUGGAAGGUUGAUUUGCCUCAAUAGUUUAUGUAACUUCUUUAAGUUCAACUAACUCCAAAUAGGCACCGGGCCUAUCAAUCUCUCACGUCCAACUUCCCAAAAAAUACUUGUUCCAUCACUACUUGUCUUGCCAAUACAGUAAUUGUCAAAACCAUUUUUAAUUUAUAAUCUUGACCGCUCGAUAGCCCGUUAUGAACAAGCCGUGAAGAUCUUAAGUCCACUAACUACGAUUACGUCUUAAUUAUAUGAAUCUCCACUAUUCGAGUAGAUUUUAUGCAUGAUUUAGAUUUAUUUUGAAACAAAAAUAUAAGAGAAAUAUUUAGUAUUAAAAAGGGAAGAAGAGAAAACGAAGUCUAUGUUAUUGAUUUCUAGAAGAAAUGCACCAAGGAUGUAAUUGUACCUGUUGGUGGAAAGUGAAAGUAUCCUAUGAAAUUAGUCGAGGUGUACAUAAGCUGAUCACCAUUGGCAGAGCUAGAAAUUAUUUAACUAAGGUAGUUCAAAAAUAUAUAGAAGUAACAAACGAAGAAGCUAAAGGGAUUCAAUAUCUACUAUAUAUAUACAUCAAAAUAAUUUUAACCUUGUAUAUAUAAUGUAAUUUUUCGCUGAAGGAGGUUCAGAUAAACCCCUAGGCCCAACCUAGCUCUGCAAGGACACCACAGUUAUAAAAAAAAAAAUAAAAAAAAAAUGCACCGUUGAUGAGAAUAUCAAUACGCCGGGAAGAGGCAACUACAGCAAAAGGAAAACUAACUCGUGCUAACUGCUAGUUAUUAUUGGAGACUUGGAGUAGUUAAUUAGUGAAACGAAAAGAAACAUCUGGGCUAUGUAUAGUAUUCCCAAAUAACUUAGCCCAUAUAGUCGGCCCAUUAGCAAUUACCCAAGUUAUAUAAUGCUUUUGAAUAGCGAAUUAUCAAACAGAAGCUGAAAGUGAGCAAAGAGGAAAUUAGGGUUUUGUGUAUCUGACAAGGAGGAUGAUUUACGACGUGAAUUCGCCGCUUUUCCGAUCCUUCCUCAGCCAGAAGGGAGGCGCCUCUGACAAGAGGAAAACAGAAGAGCAGAAGCCCAAGGAACAGAGGCCGAAAGCAAGUGAAAACAAGCCUGUUAUGAAUGAGUGAAAUCUUCCAGAUGUAAACUUAUUUUAGAAUAUCUGAAAUGUUAUUAAGAGACUCUUUUUAGAAAAUGUUGAUCAUGUGCUACAUUUGACAUUUGAAUAGAUCAUCUAUCUUUUAAGAUA